UGCACCUACGAGACAGCGGGACGUGCCUCUUUUUAUGCGCGUGUGCCUUUCCGAUCGAUUGGCCAACCGUUUCGAUCCUGAAACUGUGGUAUAGGGUGUCUCUCGGACUUUCUGUCCGUUUCUCCAUCAACCUCAGUUAAUCCUUCAAGUGCCUUACUGUUUCAUUCAACAUCUAUUUUGGCACUAAAGAAAGUGAAAAGGGAAAUUUCGGGCAUCAGAGUCAAAGAAGAGGUAAGUCGAGAGAGGAUCAGCGCCGGCGACCACGAUGAGGGGCACGGUUUUUCGCUCCACCCUACGUACAUCGACAGAAACACGUCGCUCGCUCGCGCAACCUGCAAGCGGAAGGUCGUCUCCCCCGAGCGAGGGUUUGCUGGCGCAAAGAAGAUCAAUUUUCCAGGUUGAUAUGGCAACUACUCAUCUCGAAAGUAAGUCAAACGAAUUCACACCGUGGAGAACUAGAGAUACCAAUCGUCAUCAGACAUGACUUGUGUGUAAAAGACACUGAGUGGAUACGAGUCUGGCAGCGAUAGAACGGGCGGCGAACUCGGCGCUUCCGGCUCGGCGGUGGAUACUGGAGUAUUGGGAGCAUGGGGAUUCAGACUGGACGCGGCGACGGAGGACACGGUGACGGUGCCGGCGACCGUCACCUUGGUCG